GAUGAACGCUGGCGGCGUGCCUAAUACAUGCAAGUCGAACGCUGGAGAUCUAGCUUGCUAGAUCGAAGGAGUGGCGAACGGGUGAGUAAUACAUAAGCAACCUACCCACGAAGACUGGGAUAAUCUCUGGAAACGGGGACUAAUACCGGAUAGGUAAUCGGAAGGCAUCUUCUGGUUAUUAAAGGUUAAAAACACUGGUGGAUGGGCUUAUGGCGCAUUAGUUAGUUGGUGAGGUAACGGCCCACCAAGACGAUGAUGCGUAGCCGGCCUGAGAGGGUGAACGGCCACAUUGGGACUGAGACACGGCCCAGACUCCUACGGGAGGCAGCAGUAGGGAAUUUUCGGCAAUGGGGGCAACCCUGACCGAGCAACGCCGCGUGAGUGAAGACGGCCUUCGGGUUGUAGAGCUCUGUUGUAAGGGAAGAACGGUAGAUAGAGAAUAUCUAAGUGACGGUACCUUACCAGAAAGCCACGGCUAACUACGUG
rnacentral:rRNA from 1 species